UACGGAGGGAGCUAGCGUUGUUCGGAAUUACUGGGCGUAAAGCGCGCGUAGGCGGCUUUGUAAGUUAGAGGUGAAAGCCCGGAGCUCAACUCCGGAACUGCCUUUAAAACUGCAUCGCUUGAAUCCAGGAGAGGUGAGUGGAAUUCCGAGUGUAGAGGUGAAAUUCGUAGAUAUUCGGAAGAACACCAGUGGCGAAGGCGGCUCACUGGACUGGUAUUGACGCUGAGGUGCGAAAGCGUGGGGAGCAAACAGGG
rnacentral:rRNA from 1 species